CGGCGAUGAUCAGGAGCUGAACGACAAGAAGAGGGCGGCGACGAGCGGCGCCAACUUCGCGCGCGCCUACACCGUCCAGUUCGGCAGCUGCAAGUUCCCCUACAACUUCACCGGCUGCCAGGACCUCGCCAAGCAGAAGGUAACUCUCAACAUCCAUUUCUCUCCAUGGCCGGCUCGGACGAGCUCUUAGUUAGGCUCUGGCUGACGAUCAUGCAUGGGUGCCUUCUUGCGUGGCUGCAGAAAGUCCCGUUCAUCACCGACGACCUCGAGAUCGAGUGCGAGGGGAAGGAGAAGUUCAAGUGCGGGUCCAACGUCUUCUGGAAAUGGUGAAGCUGGUCGAUAUGGCGAGUGCUGAUGUAUGUCAGUCAGGCUGUACCUAGAUGUCCAAACUGCACAAGUGUUUCGGCUGUGAAGUCAUCGUCUCUGUAAUUUUAUCAUCAAGUGGAAUCCUGUUUUUCACCUGUAAUUGCACUAGUGGAAAC
rnacentral:lncRNA from 1 species